GACGUAGGGCGCAAGCGUUGUCCGGAUUUAUUGGGCGUAAAGAGCUCGUAGGCGGCUUGUCGCGUCGACUGUGAAAACCCGAGGCUCAACCUCGGGCCUGCAGUGGGUACGGGCAGACUAGAGUGCGGUAGGGGAGAUUGGAAUUCCUGGUGUAGCGGUGGAAUGCGCAGAUAUCAGGAGGAACACCGAUGGCGAAGGCAGAUCUCUGGGCCGUAACUGACGCUGAGGAGCGAAAGCAUGGGGAGCGAACAGG
rnacentral:rRNA from 1 species